rnacentral:rRNA from 1 species
UUCCGGUUGAUCCUGCCGGAGGUUACUGCUAUCGAGGUUCGACUAAGCCAUGCGAGUCGAAUGUAGCAAUACAUGGCGAACUGCUCAGUAACACGUGGACAACCUGCCCUUAGGUUGGGUAUAAACCCGGGAAACUGGGUAUAAUACCCGAUAGGUCUCGAUUGCUGGAAUGCAUCGAGAUUUAAAGCUCCGGCGCCUAAGGAUGGGUCUGCGGCCUAUCAGGUAGUAGUGGGUGUAGCGUACCUACUAGCCUACGACGGGUACGGGUUGUGAGAGCAAGAGCCCGGAGAUGGAUUCUGAGACACGAAUCCAGGCCCUACGGGGUGCAGCAGGCGCGAAAACUUUACAAUGCUGGCAACAGCGAUAAGGGAACCUCGAGUGCCAGGUUACAAAUCUGGCUGUCGAGAUGCCUAAAAAGCAUUUCAUAGCAAGGGCCGGGCAAGACCGGUGCCAGCCGCCGCGGUAACACCGGCGGCUCGAGUGGUAACCGUUAUUAUUGGGUCUAAAGGGUCUGUAGCCGGCCGGAUAAGUCUCUUGAGAAAUCUGGCAGCUUAACUGUCAGGCUUUCAGGAGAUACUGUCUGGCUCGAGGCCGGGAGAGGUGAGAGGUACUUCAGGGGUAGGGGUGAAAUCUUGUAAUCCUUGAAGGACCACCAGUGGCGAAGGCAGUUUACCAGAACAGCUUCGACAGUGAGGGACGAAAGCUGGGGGAGCAAACGGGAUUAGAUACCCCGGUAGUCCCAGCCGUAAACAAUGUGCGUUAGGUGUGUCGGUAACCACGUGUUACUGAUGCGCCGAAGAGAAAUCGUGAAACGCACCACCUGGGAAGUACGGUCGCAAGGCUGAAACUUAAAGGAAUUGGCGGGGGAGCACCACAACAGGUGGAGCCUGCGGUUUAAUUGGAGUCAACGCCGGGA